GUCAAGCCCUUGCUUUGGCAAACACUAAAAUUGGAACGAUACAGAGAAGAUUAGCAUGGCUCUUGUGCAAGGAUGACAUGCAAAUUCGUGAAGAGUUCAUAUUAAAA
rnacentral:snRNA from 1 species